GGUAUUCUUGUUGAGUUUGAUUGCGAUUGUUUACUUUGAUAACGUUUAAUAUUAAUUUCAAUGUUGAUUAUUUGACAAUUUGUGAUUUAUUUAUGUGAUUAUGGCAAGGGAUGGUUAAAAGGAUCAAAUCAAGAUGAACGAUUGGAAUGGCUAAAAAAGAAAAAUAUCUGUUUUGGAUAAAUACUGUAAAGCAUAAAAAUGUUCAUAUAUGCUUGUUGUGUGUAAUGUAUCUUUAUUCAUCUGCUCGCUUACCUGAUUGACGAGGUAGAAAACAUCAAUUUUAACCUGUAAAUUGUGAUAAUUGUUGAUAUAGAUAGUUGGUGAGAGCUGACAUAAUGUUUCAAAGGAACUCAACCGGAUCACAUAAUAAUAUUCGUAAUGGAUUCAAAUGAGCUACGAAUUUUUUUACUUUAAUUUAGUCUUCUUGGUUCCUUUAUUUUGGUCAAUUUUUCGCUAUACAUUUGGACUCAACUGGUCAAUUGAUUGAAUCCUAUUUGACCAUAAUCAAUGGAUUGUCUCAUGGCUCAACCAAAAGUAUCACAACCAGAACAAAGUGUAACAAAUUAUAAAGUGUAUUAGCAUACAUUAAUUAACCAUUAUCGACAGUCACAAUUUUAGAUUGACAAUCUGCUUAAAAUCAGCCCAGCCCGUUACAAAUCGUACUCUCACCUCAAUAAAUAAGCUAAAAUUCAACGUUAUUAUCGGGAUAAAGUUACAUUCAUCUAGUGCCAAAAAAAUACUGAACCGCAAAUCUCUGAGCCAUCAAUUGAUUUUAAAUGCUGCCAGUAAUCUCUUUCAAUCCAAUCCUCGAUUUGAUUAUUGUUCAACUCAGCUAAUCACAAAUAUAGACAAAGGUUAUCAAUAUUUGAGCUCACAAUUUGAUGCACACAGGUUCAGUUAGUUGAACUGUUGCAUUGAAAUCUUGUCCCUUAUUCAAGCAAUUGCUAAAAUCGGAUAAAUUACCUUCACAACUAGUAGUCAUUUGAAAAUCUUUUUCCUCUCCAGGUAACUACCCUUUUUACUUGAUUUAAUUUUGUCAUUACUUUUACUUUUUUUACUGACAUUUAAGGAGUAGAAGUGCAAAAUUGGUGAAGAAAAAAAUAAGAAAUCAUUUAACGAUGAAAAGAGGUUUUUGCUAUGAUUUUUUAUAUUUAAUAUCAUCAAUUGGAAAUCAACUGUCAAUCGUCUAAGGUUGAUAAUCUUUGAUUAUUGGAAGGGAGCGAAAGUUAUCAACCGAUUCAUUACUGAAUCUAGUUUCAUUGAGGUUCAACUCUUGAACUAAACCUUUUUUGUACUCUAUUAUGAUAUUGUAUUGUUAUCGGUUACUGAUGGGCUUAAACUGAACAAAUUUUACUGAUUAAUAAUUAUUUUUAGCUGUCGUCUCUUAACCUUUUGUUUAUAUCGUUUAAGUUAUUCACAAUUUAACAUGUAAGCGAAGUGUCGAUUUAAACUGAUUUGAUUCUGAUUAUAGACGAAAUAUUUGCAUUCAAUUUUACUGUGUUAACUUGCUACAGUUACAAUAUGUUGAAAUAUUAUGAAUAUUAUAUUAUAACCUUUUACCUUAUUAUUUACCUAAUUGUUAACGUAUUUAAAACACAAAUUUGAGACCGUUUUUUCACUUUAUUUGACAACUGAUUACACAAAUCACACCUUAAUUUAACUCUCAAUUCAUUAUCAUAAAAACAUAAUUAGUGACAAAAGAAAAGCAAAGCGUAUCGAUUUUUAAAUCAUUGUUUUCAUUUCUUUAA